CUUCUUUCUUUUUAAGUCGUAGGAACAGAAGCACCUACACUCUAACAGCCAGGCCCAAACUUGGCGUAUAAAUUUGCUCAUAUUUUGGUCAUUGGUCCUGAGACUUGCCUGGGCCAACUAGAUGUCAGGAACACAGUCCAUGGUCACUGGUCUCCCUCAUUUUUUAGGAGGAACAAAACAGAAACUAAUACUUUUUGGUUGUUCAUUUUGUGCCAGGUGCUGCCUAAGAGCUUUCUGUAAGAAUUAUGUCCUCACAGCAACUCUCUAAGAUAUAACUUUGAAAAUGUUAUUUCUGAUCCAUCAGCGUGGGGCUCCACAUAAGGAAAAUGGUUACAACGUGACAAGAAGCGAUUAGAUGUGAAAUGGCAUCUUUCAGGUGCUCCUCCCAGCUGCCUCAUCCUGUUUUUAGCUGAAAGGAGGCUGCUUCAGCAACAAAGAGCAUUUCAUAUGCAGACAUCCACUUUUUUUUUUAAACUGAAAUCUGAAUGUGGUGAGUCUGAACUAGAGGCUGGGGCAUGAUUAAUUACGGCAACCAUCUUAACCUGCCCAGAAGCUGGGCCUGAAAGAAAUGAGGCCAGGCUGAAGAGAAACAGCUAAGGACCGGUAGGAAUGCUAACAGACCACCUUCAACCGGCCCUGUUCUUCUCUCAGCUGCUAGUAAAAAGGGUUGGAAGAUUUAAGGAAUCUGUUCCUGUCUCACUGGUCCUGGCCAACCCCAGAAUCAACUCUCUUGAUUGGAAAUAAACAGGAUCUUCCUUUUGUCCCCAGGAAUGUGAUGGAGGAAGGACUCUAAGGCAAGGGCCCUCUUCUGCCAAAGAAUGAUAAUAACAACAAUGAUGACAGUAGAAAUAAAAUAUUACCCUCUUCAUCAAGGGUGAAGAAGAAUGUCCAGUUGUGUGUUGAACCUUCUUGCCUCGGUGUGCCCCUCUGAUUGCUGCAAUGUGUGAUUUCUAAAGCAGUGAGUUUUGGAUGACCAUCAGUCAUCAGUUUUGGGGGGAUCUGAGAAAAAUAUAGAAGCCAGGACACCACCUUACUGAACUGGCUACCAUAUAUUUUAGUUGAAUCCACAGGUCCAGAAUGUUCAGCCGAGGUCUGAUCUGAACUUUCUAUUUUGUGGCCCUCCUGAGUACACUUGUACAAACUGGGCUGUAUGCUUCAAUGUGGGGUUCAGAGACUAGGAUCACAAGGACAGCACUUCUUGUUGACAAGAACUGCAAAUGACAGGGUGUAAGCCUGACCACCUCUCCUAUAGGGUGUGUAUCAGUCUGGUCUAGCCCUAGUGCCUACCAUGGAGCCUGGUCCCUGGAAGCCAGGGCAGAGGCUGUGGAGUAAGGCAGGGCAGCACAGGGGAUGUGGACAGCUCACUUCUCAUCAGUCCCUGAGUGGGGUUAGGGGACCAAGGAAGAACCUGGAUGAUGGCAUGAGCCUAUCUUGUCCCUCCAUCCUCCGAGGGCAGGAGUGGGAAAAGCUGCCUUCAAGACAGAGCCCCAACAAGACUUGUCUCCUAUGUUGCUUCUUGUAAACUCCUUGUAAAGGAAUCAUUUGUUUACCUCCCUCCCUAAGGGAGGCCCAGAAGAAGAACUUCACCUUUACGAUUUCUAUGUGAUUUUCCUUUUUGUUCAAGAUGGUGAUUGGGAGGCAAAAGGAGUCCACUCCCACCCCUUUCAAUUCCUGGGUCCAAGGACACAGAUUCUUUUUCUCCAUCUCCUUUCCCCCUCUUCCUUUUCCUCUCCUUUCUCCUCCUUCUACUCCUUAUUCUCUCAUUCUGAAGACUAACUUCUAAAGCUGAGGGCAGUAAAGAGAGCCGAAUCCAGUCUAUUUCUGCUCCCCCCUCAGCUACAUUCAAGAAAUUACUACUGUUGUGGUCUGGAGGUUUGUAUCUCCUCCUCUGCCCUCCAAAUCCCUUUGUGGAAAUCCUAGCUCUCAUGGUGAUGGCAUUAGAAGGUGGGGCAGGUGAUUAGGUCACCAGAGUGGUGCUCUCAUGAAUGGGAUUAAUGCUUUUAUAAAAGAGGCCCCAUGUGAAGGCACAGUGAAGACCGUUGUCUGUGAACCAGAGAGUGAGUCCUCACUAUACAGCUAAUCCCGGUUGCCUUUCUCUGGCAGCCCCUAGAACUGUGAAAAAUAAAUUUCUAUUGUUUAUAA